GCCUUGAUAGUGUAGUGGUUAGCACGUAGCCUUGUCGAGGCUUCGACCCGGGUUCAAAUCCCGGUCAGGGCG
rnacentral:tRNA from 1 species